UACGAAGGGUGCAAGCGUUAAUCGGAAUUACUGGGCGUAAAGGGUGCGUAGGCGGUUCGUUAAGUCUGUCGUGAAAUCCCCGGGCUCAACCUGGGAAUGGCGAUGGAUACUGGCAAGCUAGAGUGUGUCAGAGGAUGGUGGAAUUCCCGGUGUAGCGGUGAAAUGCGUAGAGAUCGGGAGGAACAUCAGUGGCGAAGGCGGCCAUCUGGGACAACACUGACGCUGAAGCACGAAAGCGUGGGGAGCAAACAGG
rnacentral:rRNA from 1 species